rnacentral:rRNA from 1 species
GAUGAACGCUGGCGGCGUGCCUAAUACAUGCAAGUCGAGCGAACAGACGAGGAGCUUGCUCCUCUGACGUUAGCGGCGGACGGGUGAGUAACACGUGGAUAACCUACCUAUAAGACUGGGAUAACUUCGGGAAACCGGAGCUAAUACCGGAUAAUAUAUUGAACCGCAUGGUUCAAUAGUGAAAGACGGUUUUGCUGUCACUUAUAGAUGGAUCCGCGCCGCAUUAGCUAGUUGGUAAGGUAACGGCUUACCAAGGCAACGAUGCGUAGCCGACCUGAGAGGGUGAUAGGCCACACUGGAAGUGAGACACGGUCCAGACUCCUACGGGGGGCAGCAGUAGGGAAUCUUCCGCAAUGGACGAAAGCCUGACGGAGCAACGCCGCGUGAGUGAUGAAGGUCUUCGGAUCGUAAAACUCUGUUAUUAGGGAAGAACAAAUGUGUAAGUAACUAUGCACGUCUUGACGGUACCUAAUCAGAAAGCCACGGCUAACUACGUG